UAUAUGAGCUUUCCAAGGUUAUUAAUCAUCCAUGAUCCGAGCUUUAAACACGACCCUCUUUCAAUCUGAAGACAGGGAAACUUUCCAUCCUUUUUUUGAUGAGCAAACAUCAUGAAGGAAUCACAGAACAGAGUUUUAUAACUGAGACAAACUUGCUCUCAGGAGCCUUGCACAGCAAAAAUGGAAGAGUUGAAAUUUCAGGGUUAAACAUUUCAGAGUUUAUUUCAACUCCCAAUGUGUGUUUUUAACUCAUUCUGAUUGAAAUGGUGUUUAGUGUUGGGGUUGUUUUAAAGUGUUGAUCCAUUAGUGUUGGUCAACUGUAGUCCAACUCUGCAGAGAGUUAAUUAAUCUAAGCUCCGUCCAGGUUUCCCGCUCAGUUCACUUUGUCAGUUGGAGACACAGAGAAGAGUUAUGAAAAUGUUCCUCCUCUGAAGUUCUACAUGAAAAUAUGUUGGUUCCAGUAAAAUACAAACAACUACAGAAGUAUGUGAAGUUGGAGGAGGUUGACUACAUGCAAUUUCAUGAAAAAGUCAUGCUGCAGUCUGGAGGAGCAUCUCCGCAGCCAGCAGAGUCUGCAUCCAUACCUCCUCCCUGUUGGUCGCCAGAAGAGCAAGACUGACAGCGUCUACAUCAACAUGGAUAAGCAUCUCAUCCCAUGUUGGGCAAACCGCUUCCUCUGGGCAUUUGAUGAACAUUUUUAAAGCACAUUUUGUGUUUAACAUGUCUUAUGAUGCAGCAUUGGUGAAUUUCUACACAUUCUUGAAAAAAAUGUGGUAGUUGUAUAUUGUACCUUCAUUUACAAUGUAUUGAUUUACAGAGAAAAUAAAAUGUCACUGUUUGAAAAUUA